GCUCCAACACCCUGAUGGAGACCAGAUGACAGACAGACAUGAUACCCAACUGCUUUCGUGCCUCUGGGCGAUACCAAAGAGACUGAGAAAAACAACAGGACUGCGGUCGAGUCACAUCCCCUCCUGCAGCAAGGAUCCAGACUGAAGAAUCAGGAGGAACUCUACACAGGAAUUCCUGAGAACUAAUAUCAAGAAGUCAUGAGCUGGCUGAUGAUAUGGAAGACUUGAUCUAAUUGUCUGAGCCAGCAGAGUGUAGUGGUUAGAGUAUUGGCCAAGAACCAUGGAGAAACAAGUUCAAUUCUCUACUCAGCCAUGGAACUCACUGGGUGACUCUGGGCCAGUCACAUCUCUCUGCCUAACCCUAACAAGGUUGUUGUGAAGAGGACAUAACCACACUGGACGCCUUGGAAGAGGAGGAGAAGCGGGAUAUAAAUGUAAAUGUGAAAUUUAAAAAAUAAAAUAAGUUCUGGAAGCA